UGAAGAGUAGGUGUCGCAGC
rnacentral:siRNA from 1 species